UGGGGAAUUUGGACAAUGGGCGAAAGCCUGAUCCAGCAAUGCCGCGUGUGUGAAGAAGGCCUUCGGGUUGUAAAGCACUUUUGUCCGGAAAGAAAUCCUUGGCUCUAAUACAGUCGGGGGAUGACGGUACCGGAAGAAUAAGCACCGGCUAACUACGUGCCAGCAGCCGCGGUAAUACGUAGGGUGCAAGCGUUAAUCGGAAUUACUGGGCGUAAAGCGUGCGCAGGCGGUUUGCUAAGACCGAUGUGAAAUCCCCGGGCUCAACCUGGGAACUGCAUUGGUGACUGGCAGGCUAGAGUAUGGCAGAGGGGGGUAGAAUUCCACGUNUAGCAGUGAAAUGCGUAGAGAUGUGGAGGAAUACCGAUGGCGAAGGCAGCCCCCUGGGCAAUACUGACGCUCAUGCACGAAAGCGUGGGGAGCAAACAGGAUU
rnacentral:rRNA from 1 species